CCUACGGGAGGCAGCAGUGAGGAAUAUUGGUCAAUUGACGAGAGUCUGAACCAUCCAAGUAGCGUGAAGGAUGACUGCCCUAUGGGUUGUAAACUUCUUUUAUAUGGGAAUAAAAUGUUCCACGUGUGGGCUUUUGUAUGUACCAUAUGAAUAAGGAUCGGCUAACUCCGUGCCAGCAGCCGCGGUAAUACGGAGGAUCCGAGCGUUAUCCGGAUUUAUUGGGUUUAAAGGGAGCGUAGGUGGAUUGUUAAGUCAGUUGUGAAAGUUUGCGGCUCAACCGGAAAAUUGCAGUUGAAACUGGCAGUCUUGAGUACAGUAGAGGUGGGCGGAAUUCGUGGUGUAGCGGUGAAAUGCUUAGAUAUCACGAAGAACUCCGAGUGCGAAGGCAGCUCACUGGACUGCAACUGACACUGAGGCUCGAAAGUGUGGGUAUCAAACAGGAUUAGAUACCCGUGUAGUC
rnacentral:rRNA from 1 species